UGUAAUUAUAAGUAUUUGAAUGCUUGAUGUUAAUCAAUGCAAGAGUUUGUGCUGUUAGAAACAUUAUUAUGAUAGUUAUGUUUUUCGACUGGGUUAAAUGAUCUUCAUGUGUGUCUACACCUUUUCUGCCUAUACUUUAUUCCAUAUUUUUAUAUUAAUCAAGCCGAAUUUUCCUUUUUAGUUAACGGCAUAAUGCACGUGGCCAAUUUUCUUGAACCAUUUUCCGUUCUACAUAAUAAUUUUGAAAUGACUUUCCAAGAUGAUUACUAUCUGCAUUUAUAUGAAUGAAAAGGUUAUUUGAAUUGUACACUAUCUUGACGAGGAGAUCUUCCUAUAUUUAGUAUUCUUGCAGAGUGUUGCAAAGAUGGGCUGGAUAUGUCCUGCACAGUGAACAUAAUAUCUGGAGGGCUCUGAUUUUGUAUGUUGCCGCUGUGCACUACAAGAAGCAUUGGCAUCUCUUCGUGAGGCUCAGCUACCCGAUACAGGUGCAAUGUUUAUCCUUGCAUGCCGUGAAAUCCAUGCAGAGAUUGUUUCUGACUUAGGUAUUACUGGCGAUGAAUAAAGUUCAUCGGUUAAUGAUAGGAUACUAACUUGCAUGCUUUAUAUCCUGAAAAUGAAGAUGUAGUUGCAGUUGAUGAAUACUUUGGGCAAUACCAAAGAAAAUUGGUGCAUCUAUGCAUGGAUUCACAUCCAUCCUCUGACUAAGUAUAGGGCUUGUGAAAUAUAUUCAAAUUAUUCAUUUAUAUUCA